rnacentral:misc_RNA from 1 species
GAUGAAGAACGCAGCGAAAUGCGAUACGUAAUGUGAAUUGCAGAUUUCAGUGAAUCAUCGAAUCUUUGAACGCACAUUGCGCCCCUUGGUAUCCCGAGGGGCAUGCCUGUUCGAGCGUCAUUUCACCACUCAAGCCUGGCUUGGUGUUGGGCGACGUCCUCUUUGGGGACGCGCCUCGAAACGCUCGGCGGCGUGGCACCGGCUUUAAGCGUAGCAGAAUCUUUCGCUUUGGAAGUCGGGGCCCCGUCUGCCGGAAGACCUGCUCGCAAGGUUGACCUCGGAUCAGGCAGGGAUACCCGCUGAACUUAAGCAUAUCAAUAAGCGGAGGA